GGAAUAUGUCCUGAACACUGUGUGGACAACCCCUGGGGAAUAGGAUGCCAUGAUGAAAAUAUCAACUUAGCCUAUGGAAAGCAUGCCACACAGUCAAGUUCUUAUAUUAAUGGUAGCGAAGGCGUAAGUUAUCCACCACAUCUUGCAGUGGACGGAGACAACAGCACUGAUGACCUGAAAUGUAUAAGAACGAAUUCACAGGACAAGCCCACCUGGAGUGUGGACCUAGGGGGGUUAUAUGUAAUUCGUAGAGUUGUAUUGAUAAAACCCACAACAUUUGCUGACAUAUGCCACUUUCAAGGUGUCCAGCUCUGCAUUAACAACAACACGGCAUCGGAUACUGGAUGCAGAGAUGUAUCUGUUCCUAAUGAACAGUGUUCAACUGCAGUGUUAGAGUACGAUAUACAUCCACCAAUCUUGGCG